UUCCUGACCCAGGGGUCGAACCCCGCAUCUCCUGCAUUGCAGGCGGUCUCCUGCAUUGCAGGCAGAUUCUCUACCAACUGAGCCACCAUGGA
rnacentral:tRNA from 1 species